rnacentral:rRNA from 1 species
UACGAAGGGGGCUAGCGUUGCUCGGAAUCACUGGGCGUAAAGGGUGCGUAGGCGGGUCUUUUAAGUCAGGGGUGAAAUCCUGGAGCUCAACUCCAGAACUGCCUUUGAUACUGAGAUCUUGAGUUCGGGAGAGGUGAGUGGAACUGCGAGUGUAGAGGUGAAAUUCGUAGAUAUCGCAAGAACACCAGUGGCGAAGGCGGCUCACUGGCCCGAUACUGACGCUGAGGCACGAAAGCGUGGGGAGCAAACAGG